AGAAAUUCUGCUGGUUGACUGAUACAGCUGUCUCAGGGCCUCCUGGGGGCCGUGCAGUUAACAUCAUGGUAAUGAAACCUAAAGGAGGUUUCCACUGCCUCUCUUUUAAGUAUGCUUUUAGAUACGGUGAGGGGGGGGGGGGGGGGGGGGGGGGUGUAGGAUGUAGUCCGAUCCAGUGGGGGAGUUUAGGAUGCCAGAUCAGGCGCCCCCCUUCCAGCUCUCCUCUCUGAUCUUUUCUCUGUUGUCUUACUUCUCUCUAUCACCUUUUCUAUUCCUUUGAAAAAGUGAGGCUCCAUAAAUAUUAAAGAGGUACAAGAAAGUAAAUUGUAGAAAACUAAACAGAAGAAAGUAGAAGAGAAGUAGAAGAGAAAUAACAAUUUUAACAUAAACCAGUGACACACUCCAGGGCCUGAUCAACCCUGGCAGGGCCUCCUUGGAUAAGGGUGUCUAGUGAUAGACGUGGCCGAAACACCCAAUGAAUCCAAGGUCCACUGCUGGAGUGAAGAUGGUAGAUCGUAAAUAAUUGUUUUUUUGUAGUUUUUUUUUUCUUUUCUUCUUUUCUUUAUCUCCUCUUUUCCCUAUAUAUGUAUUUGUAAAUGCAUGUAAUGAUUUUAAAUAUAUGUGAUUCUGUUUGUUUUUUGUUUUUGUGUUGUUUUCAUUGUUGUGCUGAUAAUGAAUAAAACAUGUAAAAUAGAAACUUGCCUCUUGGCUUGUUCGUUUUUUACUUCUUUUUACAAGGACGACAUGCUGCUUUGCUUGUGUUGCGGUUAUUGGUUUGAUCUAGUUUGGUUUGGUUUCCAUCUCCAGGGCAAAAACACUUUUUAAUUUGUGAAUACAAAAAAGUGACGAUAGCCUGUUGUUCAUGUCCUGGUCAAUGCUGGCCUUUCUUUUUCACAGUAAUAAAGAUAUGUGAAAAAACAGGGCAACUCCUCGUCUUCAUUUCCAGUCAUUUCCAAUCUCAUAAAGUAAUAAAAUGGCAUUCAGGUAUUUCGUGACAUGAUUAUGCCUUGAUAAUUUUU
ensembl:lncRNA